AUGAAACCGAGCGGAAGAGCCUGGCCACGGCACAAAUAACCACUCAAAAAUUUAUAACUGUGUCUGAUCAUAGCAAUUAGUGUGAAUUUGAUUUUAUUGCCGACUAAGAAAACCGAAAGUGUUCAGAACCAGCCAGCAGCAACAAAGGCAGUUGUAAAGCCAAUGCGUAGCUAAAAGCUGCAAAUGCACACCGAACACGGUAAG
ensembl:ncRNA lncRNA:CR44634 long non-coding RNA:CR44634